rnacentral:tRNA from 1 species
GCGCGAGUGGCGGAAUGGAAGACGCGAUGGUUUUAGGUGCCAUUGUCCUGUGGACGUGGGGGUUCGAGUCCCCCCUCGCGCA